rnacentral:misc_RNA from 1 species
AGUCAUCAACCCCUUCCGUUUCGGGCGGACCGGGUUGGAUGUGGGGGCUCUGCUGCCGUGAGGCGGCUCCCCUCAAAUGCAUCGGUUGGGCCUGCGGGUCGAACUCGACUGGGCGUUGUACCAUCCUCGCUCGACAGAGACGUUCCCCUCUUGUGCCCUUCCCCGACCUGCCCCCCAAGAGUGGCGGUCACAAGCAAAAAAGCUUUGAA